AGCAGCCGCGGUAAAUUCCAGCUCCAAUAGCGUAUAUUAAAGUUGUUGCAGUUAAAAAGCUCGUAGUUGAAUUUCGGGAUCAAUACGUCGGUCGUGCCUUCGGUACGUACUAAUGUCAUUGAUUUCUCCCUUCUGAUGAAUCAUGAUGUCAUUAAUUUGAUGUUGUGGGGAGUCAGGACUGUUACUUUGAAAAAAUUAGAGUGUUUAAAGCAGGCACGCGCUUGAAUACAUUAGCAUGGAAUAAUGAAAUAGGACGUUCGAUUCUAUUUUGUUGGUUUCUAGGAUCAACGUAAUGAUUAAUAGGGAUAGUUGGGGGCGAUUAGUAUUCAAUUGUCAGAGGUGAAAUUCUUGGAUUUAUUGAAGACUAACUACUGCGAAAGCAUUUGCCAAGGAUGUUUUC
rnacentral:rRNA from 1 species